UACGUAGGGUGCAAGCGUUAAUCGGAAUUACUGGGCGUAAAGGGCUCGUAGGCGGCCAACUAAGUCAGACGUGAAAUCCCUCGGCUUAACCGGGGAACUGCGUCUGAUACUGGAUGGCUUGAGUUUGGGAGAGGGAUGCGGAAUUCCCGGUGUAGCGGUGAAAUGCGCAGAUAUCGGGAAGAACACCCGUGGCGAAGGCGGUUCUCUGGGACGGUACUGACGCUGAGACGCGAAAGCGUGGGGAGCGAACAGG
rnacentral:rRNA from 1 species